rnacentral:snRNA from 1 species
GUGCUCACUUCAGCACUAAAAUUGGGACGAUACAGUGAAGAUUAGCAUGGCCCCUGCACAAGGAUGACAUGCAAAAUAAAAAGAAGAAAGCAAAGAAAUU